UACGUAGGGGCAAGCGUUGUCCGGAUUUAUUGGGCGUAAAGAGCGUGUAGGCGGCCUGGAAGGUCAGCUGUGAAAACUCGAGGCUCAACCUCGAGACGUCGGUUGAAACCACCUGGCUAGAGUCCGGAAGAGGAGUGUGGAAUUCCCGGUGUAGCGGUGAAAUGCGCAGAUAUCGGGAAGAACACCCGUGGCGAAGGCGGCACUCUGGGACGGUACUGACGCUGAGACGGCGAAAGCGUGGGGAGCGAACGAGG
rnacentral:rRNA from 1 species